rnacentral:rRNA from 1 species
AUUGAACGCUGGCGGCAGGCCUAACACAUGCAAGUCGAGCGGAUGAAGGGAGCUUGCUCCUGGAUUCAGCGGCGGACGGGUGAGUAAUGCCUAGGUAUCUGCCUGGUAGUGGGGGAUAACGUCCGGAAACGGGCGCUAAUACCGCAUACGUCCUGAGGGAGAAAGUGGGGGAUCUUCGGACCUCACGCUAUCAGAUGAGCCUAGGUCGGAUUAGCUAGUUGGUGGGGUAAAGGCCUACCAAGGCGACGAUCCGUAACUGGUCUGAGAGGAUGAUCAGUCACACUGGAACUGAGACACGGUCCAGACUCCUACGGGAGGCAGCAGUGGGGAAUAUUGGACAAUGGGCGAAAACCUGAUCCAGCCAUGCCGCGUGUGUGAAGAAGGUCUUCGGAUUGUAAAGCACUUUAAGUUGGGAGGAAGGGCAGUAAGUUAAUACCUUGCUGUUUUGACGUUACCAACAGAAUAAGCACCGGCUAACUUCGUG